GAUGAAGGAACGUAGCGAAAUGCGAUAAGUAGUGUGAAUUGCAGAAUUCAGUGAAUCAUCGAAUCUUUGAACGCACAUUGCGCCCCUUGGUAUUCCAUGGGGAAUGCCUGUUCGAGCGUCAUUUGUACCUUCAAGCUUUGCUUGGUGUUGGGUGUUUGUCUCGCCUUUGCGUGUAGACUCGCCUUAAAAUAAUUGGCAGCCGGCGUAUUGAUUUCGGAGCGCAGUACAUCUCGCGCUUUGCACUCAUAACGACAGCGUCCAAAAGUACAUUUUACACUCUUGACCUCGGAUCAGGUAGGGAUACCCGCUGAACUUAAGCAUAUCAAUAAGCGGAGGA
rnacentral:misc_RNA from 1 species